UACGUAGGCAGCAAGCGUUGUUCGGAAUUACUGGGCGUAAAGAGUGUGUAGGCGGUGCUCCAAGUCUGGUGUGAAAUCUCCCGGCUCAACUGGGAGGGUGCGCUAGAAACUGGAAUGCUAGAGGAUGGGAGAGGUAGGCGGAAUUCCUGGUGUAGCGGUGAAAUGCGUAGAUAUCAGGAGGAACACCUGUGGUGUAGACAGCUUACUGGACCAUUUCUGACGCUGAGACACGAAAGCGUGGGUAGCAAACAGG
rnacentral:rRNA from 1 species